GAUGAACGCUGGCGGCGUGCCUAAUACAUGCAAGUCGAGCGAACAGAUGAGGAGCUUGCUCCUCUGACGUUAGCGGCGGACGGGUGAGUAACACGUGGAUAACCUACCUAUAAGACUGGGAUAACUUCGGGAAACCGGAGCUAAUACCGGAUAAUAUAUUGAACCGCAUGGUUCAAUAGUGAAAGACGGUUUUGCUGUCACUUAUAGAUGGAUCCGCGCCGCAUUAGCUAGUUGGUAAGGUAACGGCUUACCAAGGCAACGAUGCGUAGCCGACCUGAGAGGGUGAUCCGCCACCCUGGAACUGAGACACGGUCCAGACUCCUACGGGAGGCAGCAGUAGGGAAUCUUCCGCAAUGGGCGAAAGCCUGACGGAGCAACGCCGCGUGAGUGAUGAAGGUCUUCGGAUCGUAAAACUCUGUUAUUAGGGAAGAACAAAUGUGUAAGUAACUAUGCACGUCUUGACGGUACCUAAUCAGAAAGCCACGGCUAACUACGUG
rnacentral:rRNA from 1 species